rnacentral:rRNA from 1 species
UACGAAGGGGGCUAGCGUUGUUCGGAAUCACUGGGCGUAAAGGGCGCGUAGGCGGCUUGACAAGUCAGGUGUGAAAGCCCCGGGCUCAACCCGGGAAUUGCACUUGAUACUGUCUGGCUAGAGUCCGGGAGAGGAUGGCGGAAUUCCCAGUGUAGAGGUGAAAUUCGUAGAUAUUGGGAAGAACACCGGUGGCGAAGGCGGCCAUCUGGACCGGUACUGACGCUGAGGCGCGAAAGCGUGGGGAGCAAACAGG